rnacentral:tRNA from 1 species
GGCGGCGUGGUGUAAUGGCUAACACAUCAGUCCGGUCUACUGAAGAUGAUGGUUCGCUCCCAGCCGCCA